UCCCCCUGGCUUCUAUAGGCUGAGAAGAAAGACAAGGAGAAGCAGGAGGACAACAUCAGCAAAAAGUCAAAGAAUGAAGUGAACAAGAUUGAAGCCACAGCGGGCAUGAAGAAGCUGGAUUCGGAAGCUGCAGACAUCUUGAAUGACCUGCAGGUCAAACUGGCCACCGUCCUGGACAACCUGAGCGCCAUGUUCGGCAGGAG